rnacentral:rRNA from 1 species
UGGGGAAUAUUGCACAAUGGGGGAAACCCUGAUGCAGCGACGCCGCGUGAGCGAAGAAGUAUUUCGGUAUGUAAAGCUCUAUCAGCAGGGAAGAAAAUGACGGUACCUGACUAAGAAGCCUCGGCUAACUACGUGCCAGCAGCCGCGGUAAUACGUAGGGGGCAAGCGUUAUCCGGAUUUACUGGGUGUAAAGGGAGCGUAGACGGAUGUGCAAGUCUGAAGUGAAAGCCCGGGGCUCAACCCCGGGACUGCUUUGGAAACUGUGUAUCUAGAGUGCCGGAGAGGUAAGCGGAAUUCCCAGUGUAGCGGUGAAAUGCGUAGAUAUUGGGAGGAACACCAGUGGCGAAGGCGGCCUACUGGGCUUUAACUGACGCUGAGGCACGAAAGCAUGGGUAGCAAACAGGAUUAGAUACCC